AACGAACGCUGGCGGCAGGCCUAACACAUGCAAGUCGAACGCUCCGCAAGGGGAGUGGCGCACGGGUGAGUAACACGUGGGAACCUACCUUCUGGUACGGAACAACCAAGGGAAACUCUGGCUGAUACCGUAUACGACCUCCGGGUGAAAGAUUGAUCGCCGGAAGAGGGGCCCGCGUCCGAUUAGGUAGUUGGUGAGGUAACGGCUCACCAAGCCUGCGAUCGGUAGCUGGUCUGAGAGGANGACCAGCCACACUGGGACUGAGACACGGCCCAGACUCCUACGGGAGGCAGCAGUGGGGAAUAUUGGACAAUGGGCGCAAGCCUGAUCCAGCCAUGCCGCGUGAGUGAUGAAGGCC
rnacentral:rRNA from 1 species